UACGUAGGGUGCGAGCGUUGUCCGGAAUUAUUGGGCGUAAAGGGCUCGUAGGCGGUUUGUCACGUCGGGAGUGAAAACUCGGGGCUCAACCCCGAGCCUGCUUCCGAUACGGGCAGACUAGAGGUAUGCAGGGGAGAACGGAAUUCCUGGUGUAGCGGUGAAAUGCGUAGAUAUCGGGAGGAACACCUGUGGCGAAAGCGGCUCACUGGACCAUUACUGACGCUGAUGCUCGAAAGCUAGGGGAGCAAACAGG
rnacentral:rRNA from 1 species